rnacentral:rRNA from 1 species
GAUCCUGGCUUAGGAUGAACGCUGGCGGCGUGCUUAACACAUGCAAGUCGAACGAAGCAUCUGGAAGUUUUUGGACAGAAAGAUGACUGAGUGGCGGACGGGUGAGUAACGCGUGGGUAACCUGCCUUAUACAGGGGGAUAACAGUUGGAAACGACUGCUAAUACCGCAUAAGCCGACAGGGCCGCAUGGCCUGGUUGGAAAAGAUUUAUCGGUAUAAGAUGGACCCGCGUCUGAUUAGCUAGUUGGUGAGGUAACGGCUCACCAAGGCGACGAUCAGUAGCCGGCUUGAGAGAGUGAACGGCCACAUUGGGACUGAGACACGGCCCAAACUCCUACGGGAGGCAGCAGUGGGGAAUAUUGCACAAUGGGGGAAACCCUGAUGCCAGCAACGCCGCGUGAAGGAAGAAGUAUUUCGGUAUGUAAACUUCUAUCAGCAGGAAAGAAAAUGACGGUACCUGACUAAGAAGCCCCGGCUAACUACGUGCCAGCAGCAGC